GAUGAACGCUGGCGGCGUGCCUAAUACAUGCAAGUAGAACGCUGAAGGAAGGAGCUUGCUCUUUCCGGGUGAGUUGCGAACGGGUGAGUAACGCGUAGGUAACCUCCCUGGUAGCGGGGGAUAACUAUUGGAAACGAUAGCUAAUACCGCAUAACAGAAGAUGUUGCAUGAUAUCUACUUAAAAGGUGCAAUUGCACCACUACCAGAUGGAUCUGCGUUGUAUUAGCUAGUUGGUGAGGUAACGGCUCACCAAGGCGACGAUACAUAGCCCACCUGAGAGGGUGAUCGGCAGCACUGGGACGGGGACACGGCCCAAACUCCUACGGGAGGCAGCAGUCAGGAAUCUUCGGCAAGGGACGGAAGUCUGACCGAGCAACGCCGCGUGAGUGAGGAAGGGUUUCGGAGCGUAAAGCUCUGUUGUCAGAGAAGAGCGAGUGUGAGAGUGGAAAGUACACACUGUGACGGUAUCUUACCAGAAAGGGACGGCUAACUACGUG
rnacentral:rRNA from 1 species